rnacentral:rRNA from 1 species
UACAGAGGGUGCAAGCGUUGUUCGGAAUUAUUGGGCGUAAAGCGCGUGUAGGCGGCUUUGCAAGUCGGGUGUGAAAGCCCUCAGCUCAACUGAGGAAGUGCGCCCGAAACUGCAGAGCUUGAGUACCGGAGAGGAUGGCGGAAUUCCCCAAGUAGAGGUGAAAUUCGUAGAUAUGGGGAGGAACACCGGUGGCGAAGGCGGCCCGCUGGGCUCUUGCUGACACUGAUGCGCGACAGCGUGGGGAGCAAACAGG